rnacentral:ncRNA from 1 species
GCCGUUACGAAUGAAAAGGGAACUUCGGUGCAAGUCCGAGACUAUACCCGUAGCUGUAAGUUUUUUUAGACUAUGUGCAUUCUUGAUGACCACUGCCAAUAGGUGGGAAGGUCGCACUAGUUAAACAAGUCAGAAGACCUGCCUUUAUUAUAU